GAUGAACGCUGGCGGCGUGCCUAAUACAUGCAAGUCGAGCGAACAGACGAGGAGCUUGCUCCUCUGACGUUAGCGGCGGACGGGUGAGUAACACGUGGAUAACCUACCUAUAAGACUGGGAUAACUUCGGGAAACCGGAGCGAAUACCGGAUAAUAUAUUGAACCGCAUGGUUCAAUAGUGAAAGACGGUUUUGCUGUCACUUAUAGAUGGAUCCGCGCCGCAUUAGCUAGUUGGUAAGGUAACGGCUUACCAAGGCGACGAUGCGUAGCCGACCUGAGAGGGUGAUCGGCCACACUGGAACUGAGACACGGUCCAGACUCCUACGGGAGGCAGCAGUAGGGAAUCUUCCGCAAUGGGCGAAAGCCUGACCGAGCCACGCCGCGUGAGUGAUGAAGGUCUUCGGAUCGUAAACCUCUGUUAUUCGGGAAGAACAAAUGUGUAAGUAACUAUGCACGUCUUGACGGUACCUAAUCAGAAAGCCCCGGCUAACUACGUG
rnacentral:rRNA from 1 species